rnacentral:tRNA from 1 species
AGGAUAAUAGUUAACCAUAACGUUUAAUUUGCACUUAGAAAGUAUUGAUCAUCAAUUUAUCUUA